AAGAAGGCAGUGUUCAGGCCCUCGGCUGUCUCUGUAGAAAUGGUGGUAGUAGGAAAGAGAGUCCAAAGGGAGAUUAUUACGUUUUUAAGAGUUAUUUUUAAAGUUUUCAAUUUCACAUCAUUUUUAAAUUUUAAUUUUCAAUAAAAUUCUAUAUGUUCAAUUGCAUAUGGUUUAGAAAUUAAAGCUAUUUCCGACAAGGGUCUUGUUUGCCAUGGGAUUUUCCUUAAUUAUCCACAUCUUGUAUGAAUGUGGCACUUGUGUUACAAAUGAUCACGGGAUACUGAUAUGCCACUAUGAAUUGAAUAUACUGAUAUGCCACUAUGAAUUGAAGCCACAGUCUGUAUGAGGAUUCCUUCUGCUGUUUGUGGAGACGAUAUCACAUAGUAACAUCCUUGUAGUAACACACAGAACACGUUCACACCUUUAAGUAUGUAUUCUACCAAUCACUCUGCCACUGCCAGCCACUCCUCGUAUUUGCCACCUCUAUAGCUUUCUUUUCAGCAUCUGGCAUGGUUAGAACCAGAGUGCCCAGCUGUUUUAUAAACACUUCUCCACAGAGUAAUAUGCACUUAGAGGCCAUGCCUAUUGUUUUGUUGAUUGGUAGCUCAUUAAAAUCAAUAGUGUUUCACUCUAUAAGUGUGUCAUAAAUUAUCUACUUGUUUACUCCAAAGUUGCUUUAAGUUUAACCAAAGUGGCUAUGGAUAUUCCUUUUUUUUUAAAGGAUGCGUUUAUUUUUAUGUUUAUGAGAGGGUUUUUGUUUUUGUUUUUGCCUAGAUAUGUUUAAAUAUACCACAUGCAUGCCUGGUUCCUCAUAAGGAACCUGUACAUCAUAAGAGGACAUCAGAUCUCUGGAGCUGGAGUUAUAGACAAGUAGGAGUCACUUCACUGUAUGUGAACUAGAACCAAACUCAGCUCCUAUGCAAGAAUAGCAAACACUGUUAACACCAAGUCAAUCUCCAGUCCAUUGCUACAUACAUUCUUUAUAUUCAUUCUUUCUUUAUAUACAUUAUAUACACUCUUUAUAUACAUACUUUCACGUUUUCAGUCCAUUGCUAUAUACAUUCUUUCACGUUUUCAGUCCAUUGCUAUAUACAUUCUUUAUAUACAUUCUUUUGCGUUUUCAGUUCAUUGCUAUAUACAUUCUUUCACGUUUUCAGUCCAUUGCUACAUACAUUCUUUAUAUACAUUCUUUCACGUUUUCAGUCCGUUGCUACAUACAUUCUUUAUAUACAUUCUUUCACGUUUUCAGUCCAUUGCUACAUACAUUCUUUAUAUACAUUCUUUCACGUUUUCAGUCCAUUGCUAUAUACAUUCUUUAUAUACAUUCUUUCACGUUUUCAGUCCAUUGCUACAUACAUUCUUUAUAUACAUUCUUUCACGUUUUCAGUCCAUUGCUGUAUACAUUCUUUAUAUACAUUCUUUCACGUUUUCAGUCCAUUGCUACAUACAUUCUUUAUAUACAUUCUUUAUAUACAUUAUAUACAUUCUUUCUUUCAUGUUUUCAGAUGAACAUAAGGGUUCAGUUCACUUAGUGCUAUAUUAGACUUUGUCACUGUCACCAAACAUUAAUGGAAAGAAGAUCAAAGACAAAACGUUUAUUUUAGCUCACAGCUUCAGGGCUUUGGUCCAUGGUUGGCUGCUGCAUUGGCCAUGAAACAGGAAUGUGACAGUAGAAGGGCAUGGUGGGUGAAAGCUGCUCAACUUUUAGAAGUGUGGAAGCAGACAGGACUUACAGCAAGAGAAAAAGCACAGCCCAGUGACCUCUUUCAGCUCACCUCCUAAAGUCUCCAGCACUUCCAACUAUCCCAAUAAUGCUACCCACUGAGACUAAGCCUUUGGUGCAGGGAUCUCUAGGAGUUACUCUUGAUCUGAACCAUAACAGGUACCGACUUUCUUUUAACUAUCGCUGAAAUGAGGUAGAUAUUCAGUGUAUGUGUUAGGAUCAAAAACUAAACAACACCCCCUCCCGUGAAAACCCCACCAUUGAUGUUGAAUGGCAGAUUAGUGACUAUUAUAUGUGUAGAGAUGUGUUAGGAGAGUAUAAGGAUACCCUGGAAGGACAUUGAAAAAAAUGACCUUACAUUUGCUUGUUUAUUUGUUUGUAUGUAUGUAUGUAUGUAUAUAUGUAUGUAUGUGUGCACAUCUGUCACGGCACAUGUGUGGAAGGUUGUAGGAGUUAGAUCUCUCUUGUCAAGUUUGGCCCAAUAUGCAGAGUCAUCUCACCAGCCAUGGAAGGCAUUUUACUCACAUUAAUAGUCAGAGAAGUAGGAACUAAAUGCUUAAGUCCUUAUGCAAACUUAAUUCAAUGGUUAUAAAACCUUUUUAAAAAAGGAUUUAUUUAUUUAUGUGGUGUGUGUGUGUGUGUGUGUGUGUGUGUGUGUGUGUGUGUGUGUGUGAAGCAUGUGCAGGUGCCCACAAGGCCAGAAGAGAGUCAGAUCCCUUGGGGCUGGAAUUAUCAGAGUUGUGAGCCACCUAGUAUGUACGCUAGGAACCUAAGCAGGGUUCUGGAAGAGUGGCAAGCAUUCUGCACCUCUGAGUUCUUUCUAGCCCUCUAUAAACACUUUAACUGCCUUUAGACUUGAUAAGUUUAAUAUGCUUGGUUCUCUUUAAGCAUUCAAAUGUUGUGAUUUUACAGCCAUCACUCUUUGAGUUCUUAACCUCUUCUUAUAAACCUAAUUAAACACAUAUUUGAAAUGUAGCUCAUCUAAAGCACUUCAAUGUUGUGGGAAACUGUUAAAAUUCUUUCAUAUGUUUCCAUUAAUCUGAAGUUUAGCAUAAAUUAAAAUUACAAGCAUAGUUUGUUGACAUGUGAAACUUAUAAGCAUAAUAAACACAACAUUAACUAACUACAAAAUUCUGUCCAAGUGAUUAUGUACUGAUUCUUAAAUUUACCAUCGAAGGUUUAAAAUAUUAUGGUUUUGAUUUGGAAUCACAAUGUUGCUGCUUAAAACUAAAUAUUCACAGUGUUCUUGUGCCCACGGUGAUCUAGAGUGACCGCCAGUAAUGGUAGCCUUGUUUUAUGAAGUGAGGUAGGUGACUUGCAUAGCUAGAAGUCAGGAGAAGGUGAUAGGUGCCAUUUGUGUCUAGUGUCCUGCUCUCCCCAUGGUUGGUAAGGGAUCAUUUGAUGUAGCCCUUGUCACUAAGGGCUUGCUUCUGCCCUGAAUCCUCUCCUUUUCUGUUUAAGACAGGUGCAUUUCCCUCCUUUCAAACAGUCUUUCCACCUUUUCAUUGAAAGAUUUACCCUUUUUUUUUUUUUAUCUCUCUUCCUAUUGGUGAGGUCUGAACUCUGUUUUCCAGGCUAAAAUGGCCUUCUCAUUGGCUUUAUAUCCCAUCAGUCUAUGCCUUUAGGCAGACUGUUCUCAAUAUUGCUUUUGACUACUCAGCUCAGAUGAGGCUCUGCCUUAGGACCUUCAGGUGUCUGUUGCCCCAUCCUCUCCUUUCUGACAUCACAUAUUAGAAUGUCCAUCUUUAACCUGUCAGUCACAGCUCUCUCAGCUCUCUCUGCUCAUGGUUUGCCUCUUCAAAGUUUCUCUAAUCACCUUUUCUGAUUUGUGCUUCCUCUUGUCAUCCUCCCUCUUUCUGACCUACUCCCAGACAUUCUAUGGUCUCUUCACUAGAAAAUAUUGUCCUUACUGAUUACUGGCCUUCUUGCAAAUAAUUUAUUUAUCAUACAGUUGUAUUGCAGUGACUUCAGCUUCCUGAUACUUGCUGGCACUAAUGUGUUCAGCAGCGUAUGAGUCAGAUGUACAUGUUGAGUGAAGAAAGAAUGGCUCCUAUUUAGACGGAAAGCCCAGGGGAAAGCAGUGGAUUUACCUAUCUGGUUUAUAGCUGCAUGGUAGCACCUCUGCUAUACCAGGCUCUGAUACAUUCUGAAUGAAUGAUGGGCAGUUUUCUGUUUGGAACUCUGUGUGACAUUUCAAAUCCUAGUUUUAACUCUGUCUUAGUUAGUGUUUUAUUGCUCUGAAGAGACACCAUGACCAAGACAAUUUGUAUAAUGGUAAACACUUAAUUGGGUCUGGCUUACAGUUUCAGAGGCUCAGUCCAUUAUAGUCAUAGUGAGGAAGCAUGGAAGUAUGCAGGCAGACUUGGUGUUGGGGAGCCAAGAGUUUUACAUCUUGAUGAGAGGGCAGCCAGGAGAAAACAGACUCUUCUGCAGGCAGCCAAGAGGAGGCUCGCUUUAACACUGGGUGGAGCCUCAGCUUAGAGCCUCAAAAUCCAACCCCACAGUGUUGAAUUUUCCCUCACAAGGCCAUACCUACUCCACCAAGGCCACACCUCUAAAUAGUGCCACUUCCCGUGGGCCAAGUAUAUUCAAACCACAGAUUUAACUGACCAUGUUUUCUGCAUGAUGGACAACUGAUCUUUCACCUCCCUAGUCCCAGUGAUAGUAUAGUCAAAGGAGUUUUGUAGGUUAUACCAGGGAGGCUGAGUUAAAGUAACUGUGAUCACUCCGUUAGCUUGUUGGCUUGAUUUUUUUCUUUUGUCUUACAUUUUUAUGUCAAGAAAAAAACAGAAGACCAUUAUUGUAAGCACAAAGCCAAGAAUAAGAUGGAAUACUUAAAAUGAUUGGAGGACUUAUCAUUGCUAAAGUAACUUGUCAUCUCUGGCAAAGGACUGACAUUAAACACUGCCAUUUAUAAAAUGAUUUUAUGUACAGAGUAAUUUAUAGUAAAACUCACAGUAUUUAAAGUAAGAUAAGUAUGUUCAAAAGGAAUAGACCUGAAAAUCCCUAAGUAAAAUUGCCUUUGAAAAAUAUCCG
rnacentral:lncRNA from 1 species